UACAGAGGGUGCAAGCGUUGUUCGGAAUUACUGGGCGUAAAGGGCGCGUAGGCGGCCUUCUAAGUCGAACGUGAAAUCCCCGGGCUCAACCCGGGAACUGCGUCCGAUACUGGAAGGCUUGAAUCCGGGAGAGGGAUGCGGAAUUCCAGGUGUAGCGGUGAAAUGCGUAGAUAUCUGGAGGAACACCGGUGGCGAAGGCGGCAUCCUGGACCAGCAUUGACGCUGAGGCGCGAAAGCCAGGGGAGCAAACAGG
rnacentral:rRNA from 1 species